UGGGGAAUUUUGGACAAUGGGCGCAAGCCUGAUCCAGCCAUGCCGCGUGCAGGAUGAAGGCCUUCGGGUUGUAAACUGCUUUUGUACGGAACGAAAAGGUGCCUUCUAAUAAAGGGCGCUUAUGACGGUACCGUAAGAAUAAGCACCGGCUAACUACGUGCCAGCAGCCGCGGUAAUACGUAGGGUGCGAGCGUUAAUCGGAAUUACUGGGCGUAAAGCGUGCGCAGGCGGUUUUGUAAGACAGAGGUGAAAUCCCCGGGCUCAACCUGGGAACUGCCUUUGUGACUGCAAGGCUGGAGUGCGGCAGAGGGGGAUGGAAUUCCGCGUGUAGCAGUGAAAUGCGUAGAUAUGCGGAGGAACACCGAUGGCGAAGGCAAUCCCCUGGGCCUGCACUGACGCUCAUGCACGAAAGCGUGGGGAGCAAACA
rnacentral:rRNA from 1 species